AUCCCUUUGUGGUUCUUGGUGUGAUACUUGGGUUCUCACACUAUUGUGUGAAGUGUGCUGCCCUCAAACCCAUUCAGUGUCAGCAAAUGAACUGUCCAGUU